rnacentral:rRNA from 1 species
CAUAUCACUAAGGGGAGGAAAAGAAAAUAACAAUGAUUUCCUUAGUAACGGCGAGUGAAGAGGAAAAAGCCCAGCGUCGAAGCCGGUAACUUUAAGUUGCGUGGCAAUGUGACGUUUGAGUUUGUCAGCUGUGUUACUCUUUGAUGCCUAACUUUCCAUGAUCGGGUCUGCCCAUAGCUGGUGAAAGGCCCUUAAUGGCAUAAUAAAGAAUACACUUUGUCAAACUUUAGAGUCAGGUUGUUUGUGAUUGCAACCCAAAGUAGGUGGUAAACUCCACCCAAGGCUAAAUACAGGCACGAUUCCGAUAGCAAACAAGUACGGUGACGGACAGUUGAAAAGAACUUUGAAGAGAGAGUUCAAAGUACGUGAAACCGUUCAGAGGUAAACGGGUAAAGCCCAUAAGUUUACAUUGUGCAUGGCAAUUGAGCUCAUUAUGUGAAAGUUGGAUAUGGGUAAUUUACUUUUGUCUUUUCUUGUUCACUACUCACUUGUCAUCUUGUACAGUGUAAUGCGCACCAACAACUUGUAAUUGAGGCUAUGAGGUGGAAGGUAGUUGUCAUGUUUCAUGACAAUGUUAUAUCCAGCUUGGGUAUAUGAAUUUAUUUUUAUAUACUCACCUCUUUUGGCGUAUAUCUCAUUUAACAAGUUAGAAAUUAUUCGUGUCAAGUACACUGCCAAAUUUUAUUGUGCAGCUCUACUAUCUGUUUGUUCAUGUAAUACAUGGAUCCAUUGAGUUGAAUUGCUCAAUGUGUUUUGUGUGUUGCAACGUUCAAGUAGUGUGUAGUAUGUACUCACGGUUAGGUGCGAUUCGGUGGGUAUCUUACCUGACCCGUCUUGAAACACGGACCAAGGAGUCUAACAUGUGCGCAAGUCAUUGAGUGUUUAAACUUAAAGGCGAAAUGAAAGUAAAGUAUGGCUUCGUGUCAUGCAGAGUGGAAUCUUGUUGUUGCUUAAAUCAUAUACAGCAAGCGCACCACUGCCCUGUCACAUGAGCUGCAGCAAUGCAACUUCGACAGAGUAUAAGCGUACAUGUUGGGACCCGAAAGAUGGUGAACUAUGCGAGGCGAAGUCGAAGCCGGAGGAAACUCUGGUGGAAGACUGUAGCGAUUCUGACGUGCAAAUCGAUCGUCGCAGCUUCGUAUAGGGGCGAAAGACUAAUCGAACCAUCUAGUAGCUGGUUCCCUCCGAAGUUUCCCUCAGGAUAGCUGGCACUCUAAUGCACACAGUUUCAUCCGGUAAAGCGAAUGAUUAGAGGCUUUGGGGACAAAAUGUCCUCAACCUAUUCUCAAACUUUAAAUGGGUGAGAUGCCUUGCUCGCAUAAUUGGAGCUUGGCGUCAUUUUAUCACGAAUGCGAGUGCCCAGUGGGCCAUUUUUGGUAAGCAGAACUGGCGAUGUGGGAUGAACCAAACACCCGGUUAAGGCGCCUAACUAUAACGCUAAUCGGAUCCCAUUGAAAGGUGUUGGUUGAUUAUGACAGCAGGACGGUGGCCAUGGAAGUUGGAAUCCGCUAAGGAGUGUGUAACAACUCACCUGCCGAAUCAACCAGCCCUGAAAAUGGAUGGCGCUUAAGCGUUUGGCCUAUACCGGGUCGUUACGGCAAGCAUAAUUUAUUGUGCAACAUGCCGUAACGAGUAGGAGGGCGCUGUGGUAGCGUUGAAGCCUUGGGUGUGAACCCGGGUCGAGCUGCCAUAGGUGCAGAUCUUGGUGGUAGUAGCAAAUAUUCAAACGAGAACUUUGAAGGCCGAAGUGGAGAAGGUUUCCAUGUGCACAGCACUUGAACAUGGGUCAGUCGGCCCUAAGUGAUAGGCUAAUGCUAUUCAUAAAGUGGACAUGCCGAAAUAAUAAGGGGUGAUAGUAGUAGUAGUAUAGUAGUAGUAUUUUAUAAUAUUAUUACAUCAUUAUUACACACCACCAUCCUUACAUGUGCUAUCAAGUCCACAGUCUAUCGAAAGGGAAUCGGGUUAAUAUUCCCGAACCAGGACGCGGAGAUAGGGUUUUCCCUUUGGGAUCCCAGUGCGGUAACGCAAACCACCUCGAAUACAUCGGCAAGAGUCCCGGGAAGAGUUCUCUUUUCUUUGUAAGGGGUCGAGUCCCUGGAAGCGGUUUACCCGGAGAUAGGGAUAUGGCGACACCCGUAAAGCACCACGGUUUUUGUGGUGUCCGGUGCACAAUUGUCGAUACUUAAAAAUUCGAGUGAGACGGUGUCAUUUUCGCGCCUGGCCGUACCCAUAUCCGCAGCAGGUCUCCAAGGUGAAAAGCCUCUGGCCUUAGACUGAUGUAGUCAAGGGAAGUCGGCAAAUUGGAUCCGUAACUUCGGGAAAAGGAUUGGCUCUAUGGGCUGGGCUGUUCGGGCUUUGAUAAGAAGCGUUCCAGGUACGAGGUUGGGCUGACAGGUGCGUCGCUUCGGUGAUGCCUUGUUGGACCGUGCCUAGUCCAGGUCGUGGACUGUCUCAGCUUCACUUAUGUCAUCUCUUUGGUGGCAUUUGUUUCGGACAGCAUCCAGCAGCCAACAUAGAACUGGCACGGACCAGGGGAA